AUUGAACGCUGGCGGCAGGCCUAACACAUGCAAGUCGAACGAGUGGCAGACGGGUGAGUAAUGUCUGGGAAAAUGCCUGAUGGAGGGGGAAAAAUAAUGGAAACUGUAGCAGAUACCACAUACCAUCAGAUGUGCCCAUAUGGGAGUAGCUAGGUGGUGGGGUAACGGCUCACCAAGGCGACGCUCCCUAGCUGGUCUGAGAGGAUGACCAGCCACACUGGAACUGAGACACGGUCCAGACUCCUACGGGAGGCAGCAGUGGGGAAUAUUGCACAAUGGGCGCAAGCCUGAUGCAGCCAUGCCGCGUGUAUGAAGAAGGCCUUCGGGUUGUAAAGUACUUUCAGCCGGGAGGCGUUACCCGCAGAAGAAGCACCGGCUAACUCCGUGCCAGCAGCCGCGGUAAUAC
rnacentral:rRNA from 1 species